UGCGUCAUUCGCUGGCGGGUUUUGCGGCGCCGCAUUCCCCGCGGCUUUAUCCGCUGGCGUUUCGUUCAAACCCAAACCACGCAG
rnacentral:tRNA from 1 species